CUAGAGACCGGUAAGAAAAGAAAAAAAAGACUCUAGAGCAGCAGCGCCUCUCAAAUUUGCUGAUCAUUAGUUGGUGUUCAGAGCGGAGGUUCGAGUUUGUGGCCAGGGGUUGGAGAAAUCGGAGCCGAGCUGGCCGGCCUGUGGUGGCCCGGGUUGAUACUACGACGCUGGACGAGGAGUCUGGGGAUAGGGCUCCUCCCAGGUACAGGAACCUGCAGGACAUCGAUGCCGAUUUGAUAGGUCAGAAUCGGGGGUUGAGAUAUCAAGUUCAGUCCUUAGUGCAGCAGAUGGAGGCCAUGCAAGCACAACUGGCCCGAAUCGCUGUUGGCGGGUGACUGCGGGAUGUGCCAGAAGAGCAGGGGCAGCGAGGAUGCUUCAUACGACAGCGACAACUCUUCGGAGGACUAUCUACUGAAGAAUUUGCGGAUUGGAUGGAUGAAGUAGAGCGCAUCUUCGAUUAUGCAGAGUUUCCAGAGGAUGAACGUGUCCCUGCAGUAGCAACGCGGCUAAAGGGCCGUGCCUCUAUUUGGUGGAAGAAUUUGGAACAGAGUCGAAAAGUCCAUCACAAGCGAGAGAUUGAUUCUUGACUGCAAUGAAGGAGAAAAUGCAGAGAGAAUUUCUUCCCUUUAAUUAUGAGGAAGCCCUGUUCAGACAGCUCCAAAACUUACGACAAGGCAACAAGAGUGUCGGUGAAUAUACAGAUGAGUUCUAUCAAGUAGUCUCACGAAACAAUUUAAGUGAUUCAAAGAGUCAGUUAGUGGCAAGAUACAUUGGAGGCUUACAUCAGUCCAUCCAAGAUGUGCUUACUCUACAUGUCAAUUUUUUAGUGUCAGAGGCGUGUGAGCGAGCGUUCGCCAUUGAGAAGUAGCUGCAGGGGCCAUUACUUGGUGGUGGUAAUUUAUCUCGGACAUGCCCUUAUACAACAUCACCCAAGACAGUUGUGGAUAGCAGCAAAGCAAGGAAAAUGGGGUCUGCACCCACACCAAAAGGAGGUACAGAUUUGUCUAAAUAUUCUACAGCCAAGAGUGCUAAUUGUUACAAGUGUGGAUCUUCUGAACAUCUAAAAAGGAUUUCCCAAAGAACUGUCGUGAUGGAAAGGGAUUGAUGGCAGAAUUGGAUGAAGAGUUCCAGCAGCAAGGAUGAGCCUGUGUAUGAUGAUUCUGAAGGUGAUGAAGUUGAGUUAGACGGAGAUACAGGGGAUAUGUUGGUAAUGGAGCGAGCUUUGAUGAUACCUCCAAAUAAAGACAAAGAUUGGCGCCAACGGAGCUUGUUCCACACACGUUGUACUAUUACUGGAAAGUAUGUCAUGUUAUUAUUGAUACUGGCAGCUGGGAGAACACUAUAUCAAAGGAGGCGGUAAAUAAACUGGGGCUUAAGAAGGAAAAUCAUCCUUGUCCUUAUAACGUGCGCUGGUUCAAACCUGACAAGGUAUCCAAGCCAUUUGAGUCAGUCAUGGGAAAAUCUGGAGUGAAAACAAGGUCUUCUGAGUAGUCAGUGCUACCUGUCGGUGCAGAUUUCCUGCUGGUUACAGAU